AUUGAACGCUGGCGGCAUGCCUUACACAUGCAAGUCGAACGGUAACAGGUCUUCGGAUGCUGACGAGUGGCGAACGGGUGAGUAAUACAUCGGAACGUGCCCGAGAGUGGGGGAUAACGAGGCGAAAGCUUUGCUAAUACCGCAUACGAUCUCAGGAUGAAAGCAGGGGACCGCAAGGCCUUGCGCCCACGGAGCGGCCGAUGGCAGAUUCGGUAGUUGGUGGGAUAAAAGCUUACCAAGCCGACGAUCUGUAGCUGGUCUGAGAGGACGACCAGCCACACUGGGACUGAGACACGGCCCAGACUCCUACGGGAGGCAGCAGUGGGGAAUUUUGGACAAUGGGCGCAAGCCUGAUCCAGCCAUGCCGCGUGCAGGAUGAAGGCCUUCGGGUUGUAAACUGCUUUUGUACGGAACGAAAAGACUCUGGUUAAUACCUGGGGUCCAUGACGGUACCGUAAGAAUAAGCACCGGCUAACUACGUGCCAGCAGCCGCCGUAAAAC
rnacentral:rRNA from 1 species